GAUAAAUUGAGAGGUUAGAGAAAAUGUUUUUUAAAAAGGCAUCGCCAGCUCUUUAAAACAGACCUUUCCGUAUUCCUGUGAAGAUGCUUGUUCUACCUGCACCCAAAGCUCAGCGCACACCUGUUCCCACCCCCGCGGACAUAGGCCCCUGGGACAAGAGCCAGGGACUCGCACCUGUCCAUCUCACUUCAGGAUGCAGCUUAAAAAAAAUAUUUGUAAGCUCGUCCUGGAGUUUCUUUCUUGACUUUCCCUUCUACCAUCCCUGUGAAAUUUGCACUUGUGUGUAGAAACUCUUCAACCCUGCCCUGAGCACAGAUUGGACAGAAAGCUGUGGAGUAGCAGCAACACCCUGAAUCCAGCACCAACAUCAACACCUAUGUCAACCCUGUACUCUGAACUCAACACCAACCAGAUACCAACACCUGGACUCAACAACAGCACCCUUAAGCUGUUAAUGUUGGUACCAAUGCCAACCCAGUAUCACCCUGAACAUGGGCAAGAGGAGAAACGUCCAGGGAAAAUGCUCACAAUAUAGGAUACCAGCUGAUGCAGGGUACCCUGGAGCUCACAGGACUCGCUGGUCAAGGUGUGCUCGUGUCGGGUGCCCAUGAGGACCACCAGGAGUCCUGCCUGCUCAUGACUUAGGCUUUGUGGAUGAUGCUGACAAGGAAGCGGAGGUGGGAGAGCACAUCUGCACCUGGAGGCACUCCUGGACACACACCUGCACCAGUACCUGCUCCUACACUUGGAGGCACACCUGCACCUAGAAUACACCUGUACCUGCACCUGGAGGCACACCUGCACCUGGAGUACACCUGCACCUGCACCUGGAGAGCCAUAGGGGAUGCUGGCUCCAUCCUCCCAACAUCCUCACACCUUCAUCUGCAUUCAGGAGCACAGCUUGCUUCUUGACCCCACAACAGCACCUCCAGCCUGUGCUUCCUCCAAGAUUUGAGCCACAGGAGAGUGUGCACAGCUAACACAACAAGACUCUGAGCUGUGUCAGAGAUUCUUAUGCUUGAGAUGCCCUUUGGCCUUUAGUUCAGCAACUGUAUACUUGGAGGAAGGAAAAAAUACAUGAAUGUCUCUAGAAUAUUGUCAGAAACCUCAAAUUUACAUGUAGUUAUGUUUUAGGGUUGGGAGUAGUAAAAGAGCACCACAGUAAGAAGCCAGGAGAUCUCAGUGCCAUCCAAAUGUGACACAAGCCAAAGAGGGCCUCUUUCUCGCUCAGGACCUCAGCUUUUAUUUCCUCCCCAGUUUAGAGAUUCUGUGGUCUGUGGCACCAAGUGGCAUGUAAAUAAGUACUCCUGUCUGAAGGGUGAUUACAUUUUUUUUAAGGUGGAAAGGAGGCUUCUAGUUUUAGAAACGUCCUUCGACAGUGCUCCUGUAGCACAGAAAUGAACAUCUUGUGGUGUAAUUUCACUUGCAGAGUUUACUUCCUCACGAACAGUACACAAACCACCCAGAAAUUUGUCCUUAAAUCUAACAGAACACUGUUUUGCCAUCAAACACGUAGGCAGAAUUCAUUUGGAAAGCUGAGCGCCUGUUCUGCACCCUAGGGAAGCCCUGCUAGUUUUAUCUCAGCUUGUGCUUUUGUGACACACACGGAGGAUUCCGUUGCAGUGACAGUUACUGGACUCCUAAGUUGUGCGGUGGCUGAGCCAGCACCCCUGACGAUGACAGUUUGCUAGAAUUCAUUUUCCGGGUCCUCUGAUAACUAGACCAGUGGUUUCCACAUCUGGAAACACUACAACUGCUGGAUGUGUGAGUAUAAUUGCACUGAGUUAUAAGCAUUUCUUGCAUCUGAAAAAUUUAAAAACUUAACAGAAGUGUCAUUGCUCCAAGCAUGGUUUAAGGUGCUAUAUUCAUGUUUCGUGUUUACUUAAUAAAACUAUGAUGAGCACAUUUCUCAGGCACUUGGCUGGGGUGAGUUAAUGGCUAAAUUCCUUGUUUGUGUUCUUUACUAUCACGCCAUGUUAUUUUACAGACAAAGAAACCAAGGUUUAGAG
ensembl:lincRNA